CGGCGCCUCGACAGCCCAUCGUCCCUCAUGAACGACGACGGCCCUCCACCAGUGCAUGACGCACAUAAGCGACCGCGUCGGACGACGUCGUCGCGUGGAGCCAAGAGCAGCACUAACGCUGCAUCGUCUGUCACGUCCGCAGUGGCGCAGCGGCGUAUUGACCCGCGUUUUGACCCGAUGUUCGGACGCGCAGAUAAGCGCAUGUUCGAGCAGAAUUACGGCUUCUUGCGUGAGGCGGAGGAAAAGGAAGAGGCGGAGCGGCGCUUCCGCAUCAAGUGCCUCAGGUGCGUCAUUCGCCGCUGCGAGCUGGAGGAGGCCGGCGAGGACCUCGACGAGUACGACUUGUCCGACUACGAGCAGGAGGUCUUCGGCGAGGACCAUCAGCGCGAGCUGCGGGAGAUGAAACUGACACCGCCACAGCGGCUCUACGCGGAACUUGAGCAGCUUCAGCGCGCCUCGCAGCUGUACGUGUCCAAGACGCGCGAUGCAUCCGUCAAGGAUCGGCGAUCCAGCGUGAAACGGGAGCUUCUGCGGAAAGAGGUGGUAGCCGUGAAGGCCGGCAGAAAGGCAAGGCCGUACUUCCCGAAGCGUGCCGAGGUGAAGCGUGCGAUGACGGCAGACACCUUCUCGCGCCUCAACGACAAGGGCGGCAAGGCCGCGGUGGAUCGAUACGUCAUUCGCAAGCGCAAAAAAUAGGAGAAGUGCAGAGCGAGAGAGAGAGAAGGAGGAAUGGAGUGAGGCGGAGAGGCACGUAUGGGCACUGAAGGUCGACGAGCGCGUCUUCUCUCCCCUACCUUUCUCUGCCUGCCUCCCUCCCUCCCGCGCCGUCCUUCACUCUUUCCUUCGACUGCCACGGCCUGCUCGUGCUAAAGCGAUCUGCUUCGCCCCCCUCCCCCCCCCGGUGACCCUUGUACCAUCAUCCCUCUUUUCUUCUGCGCGCGUGCGUGUUUGAGUGAGUGUGUAUGUUUGGCGUUAUGGCAUCCGUUAAGACUGGAACGGGCGAUAAGCGCAGCUUGCCAUUGCCAGCGCUGCGCCGUCGUUGCAGCAACUGGCGGCUGCGGAAUGCAUGCUGCUGUGUUGGAGACCACCGACCGGGUAAG
rnacentral:misc_RNA from 1 species